AGCGGGCUGGGCGAUCGCGGCGCUCGCUCCUUCGCAUGAAGGGGUGUGGAGUGGUGAGGAAAGUCCGGGCUCCGCAGGGUAGGAUGCCGGCUAACGGCCGGGCGGGGUGACCCGACGGACAGUGUCACAGAAAAGAAGACUCCCCGUGCGUGGCGCGGAGAAAAGCUGAAACGGUGUGGUAAGAGCGCACCAGCGUCGCGGCGACGCGGCGGCUUGACAAACCCCAUCCGGAGCAAGGGCAAAUAGGGAUGCCAUGAGCUGACCCGGCUCGCAUCCGGGUUGCCUGCUCGAGGGCGUCGGCAACGGCGCCUCUAGAUAAAUGAUCGUCUUAGAUGACAGAACCCGGCUUACAGGCCCGCUUU
rnacentral:RNase_P_RNA from 1 species